rnacentral:rRNA from 1 species
AUGAACGCUAGCGACAGGCCUAACACAUGCAAGUCGAGGGGCAGCACAAGGAGCAAUCUGAGGUGGCGACCGGCGCACGGGUGAGUAACACGUAUGCAACCUGCCUGUAAGCGGGGAAUAACCCGUUGAAAGACGGACUAAUACCGCAUAAUACUAAAUUACUGCAUGGUAAUUUAUUUAAACAUUUAUGGCUUACAGAUGGGCAUGCGCAUGAUUAGCUAGUUGGAGAGGUAACGGCUCCCCAAGGCAACGAUCAUUAGGGGUUCUGAGAGGAAGGUCCCCCACACUGGUACUGAGACACGGACCAGACUCCUACGGGAGGCAGCAGUGAGGAAUAUUGGUCAAUGGACGAGAGUCUGAACCAGCCAAGUCGCGUGCAGGAAGAAUGUCCCUAUGGAUUGUAAACUGCUUUUGCAGGGAAUAAAGUGCAUCACGUGUGAUGUUUUGUAUGUACUCUGCGAAUAAGGAUCGGCUAACUCCGUGCCAGCCGCAGC